GGCUUAAUUUGACUCAACGCGGGGAAUCUUACCGGGGUCCGGACACACUGAGUGACAGACAGUUGUCUUUCCCUCCCUUCGGGGUGGGAUUACAAAAGAUAACAGAUCUUUCAUGAUCAUGUGAUGGGUGGUGCAUGGCCGUUCUUAGUUCGUGGAGUGAUCUGUCUGCUUAAUUGCGUUUCAAAUUUUAUAUUUGUUAACAUGCGAGUCUUCAAUGACGGCCACUCCACCUUAUAGACAUUAUAUGAUAUGCACAUUUGUGUAUUUGAUUAUAACUUGUCUGGAGUCUGGCUCGAUUUUUUUGACUCAAUUGAACGCAACGGACGUGAUUGCAAGUCCUUGUUGAACAAAUUAUAUAUAUACUACUUCAUCAUUAGUAUAUAUAGUUCGCUUCUCAUGUCGUACAAACGGGCGGGCGUCUUAAUUGGCGCGGAGGCUUAAUAUGCUGCGG
rnacentral:rRNA from 1 species